UGUUUUGAGUGUACAGAAAAUGUACAAGCUGUAUACCGACUACUUCACAUUGUAUCAAAGUGUAAUUUUUAAUGUUGUCCCAAGGAAAAACGUAAUAAAAUAUUCUGUAUUUCAUGGCAUUUUGAGUAAAGUGUACUGACCUGUGGGCCAACUAGUCCAGGGAAACCAGGAUCACCAAAAUGACCAAACAUUCCCUGAAAUUAAAGAGGUGGGCCUGGGCUGCCAUCUUGUCCUGGUUGUCCAAAUGUGACCUCAUAAGAACAUCGCCCUUGUCUCCAUUUUGCCCCCGAGAUCCCUGGAGGAGAAGGACAGAGUAGAUGGAAUUCAAAUCAAGAUUCAAGAUUUCUGUUCCCACCGUCACCCACUGUAGUUGAUGUGCUUCACAUA
rnacentral:lncRNA from 1 species